rnacentral:lncRNA from 1 species
AAAAUAACAAGGCAGGUUUAAUUACUGUAGGGUACAGAGGACUAAUAAGACUUCUCUGUCGCAUUGUGAUCAAACAUAUGGGGGUCGUGAGCCGGGAUGUUACGCUGACUGAUUAAGGAUGAGGCCCAUGUGACAGCAUCACUCUAGCAGGAAGCCGCUUCACUAUUGACAAGGAGAGCAUAGACGCCCCGAGACACAUCCCAACAGUCACAUCAAUUGGGGCAGAAUCUCAGGGGAGCAACCGUCACACAAGUCCCAGAAACACUGUACAGAGCCAAGCAGAUGUACUCUACUGAGAGCUUUUCAAGAGUCGUCUUCUACAGAGUCUGUCAAGUUGAACCACCACGUUUCUACAGUAGCCCAGAAUGGACAAGCACACACUGAGUAAACUUUAUUUGUUAACGAAGACCGUGUGACACAGUCAGCAGCCAGAAGCGACUGCCUGAUUCUAGUUUGAGGACUGCAUACCAACACACAGGGUCAAGGUUGAAAUAACCUCAAUUAAGUAACGCAUACAACCCCAACGCCUCCUGAACACAGCAGCACCCCUAACAUCUUCAUCUUACAACAAAUUACAUCACUUUCAAUUAAUAGCACAUUUGAUAUUUGACUUCAAAUGCUUACAUUUAAGUGAAGAUACAACAGUGGGCGCUUGACAUCUAAAAAUAAUAACCACAGUGGGAGUAAUUCAUUAUUUAUUUGGUAUAUAUUUAUGGGACUGUUCUGAUACAUCAGAUUGAAAGCAU